AGUGAACGCUGGCGGCAGGCCUAAUACAUGCAAGUCGAACGGCAGCACAGCAGAGCUUGCUCUGUGGGUGGCGAGUGGCGGACGGGUGAGGAAUACAUGGGAAUCUGCCCAGUCGUGGGGGAUAACGUAUGGAAACGUACGCUAAUACCGCAUGCGCCCUACGGGGGAAAGCCGGGGACCGCAAGGCCUGGCGCGAUUGGAUGAGCCCAUGUUCGAUUAGCUAGUUGGCGGGGUAAAGGCCCACCAAGGCGACGAUCGAUAGCUGGUCUGAGAGGAUGAUCAGCCACACUGGAACUGAGACACGGUCCAGACUCCUACGGGAGGCAGCAGUAGGGAAUAUUGGACAAUGGGGGCAACCCUGAUCCAGCCAUGCCGCGUGAGUGAAGAAGGCCCUCGGGUUGUAAAGCUCUUUUGUCCGGAAAGAAAGCAAUCGGUUAAUACCGGUUGUUCUGACGGUACCGGAAGAAUAAGCACCGGCUAACUUCGUGCCAGC
rnacentral:rRNA from 1 species